UACGAAGGGGGCUAGCGUUGCUCGGAAUCACUGGGCGUAAAGCGCACGUAGGCGGAUUGCUAAGUCAGGGGUGAAAUCCUGGAGCUCAACUCUGGAACUGCCUUUGAUACUGUCGAUCUAGAGUAUGGAAGAGGUGAGUGGAAUUCCGAGUGUAGAGGUGAAAUUCGUAGAUAUUCGGAGGAACACCAGUGGCGAAGGCGGCUCACUGGUGCCAUUACUGACGCUGAGGUGCGAAAGCGUGGGGAGCAAACAGG
rnacentral:rRNA from 1 species